ACAAGCAGUGCUGUACUGGCACAAGUCACUGCAGCUGUUAAGCAAUACUUCCCUAACAUACCUUUUGCUGCUACAUCAGCUUUUGUAGCUACCUGGGACAGUGUGCCGUACCAUAAUGGUGGAGGGGUAAGACUUACCGUAAUCUUUGACUGGUAAUGAAUGGUCUGUCUUGUUGGUUUGGAAGGUGUUGAAUACUGUCUGUUGGUGUUUUGAAGGUGGUCACUUUCCAAGUGGUUUUAGCGUACAAUGUUCAUCGCUCUUUCAUCCUGAUCUAUUAUGGAGAUGUUUCAGAAACCACACAACCUUGGCAGGCUGGUUAUAACACUGUGGACUCUGGCAGUUCGUUUACAAUUCCAGCAGCACGUGUCCCCGAACUCUUGUCGAGCAGUAAUAUCAAUGUGACUUCUCGCUGGUCUUUCCAUGUUGAUGGGUCACCAAACCUGCCAGCUAAUUUCCUACCAUUUGGAAACGGAGAAAUAGUGACGCCCCGAUUGGAGAAUGGAAGCUCUGAAGCUAUUACAUUGCAGCAGCCGUUCAAGUUUUUUGGACGCACACACAACCAGAC